GAUAGAGGGAGGGGUGUUCGGAUAGGAGUCGGACUGAAAGAGAGCAAAACGGGAGAAAGGGAAAGGCAGAGGAGGGGGAGAGGAAAAGAAAGAGAGGGUGGGCUGUUGGGUGAGCGGUGCUGAGGAGGAGGAGGAGGAGGAGGAGGAGGAGGAGGAGGGGGAAGCUCGCUCCCGCUACAGCGAUGGGCGUUCCUCUCCUCAGUUCCUGCGAGGUCAAAAGUUUACCGUGGUUUUAAUUUCACCUUUCCGCAGCCAAUCAGAACGCGUCUCCGGCUGCUGGGGGAACUUUGACCCACUCUGAGAAUUUGAUUGUAAAGAUGUGAAAGUCGCCUCUGCCCCUCCAACAGCUCCCUGGGUUUUUUCCACUAUGUGCUCGUGUUUUUGUUUUGUUAAAUUUAUUCCCACCUCUUCUGAGCACACUUCCCCCCUUCGUGUUUAUUUCAGCGUCUUUUAUCUCAGUAGACAAUCUGCAGUUGUUGCUCUGAAGGGACAGUGAGGAGAGAGGGGCUUUAUUAUAUUUUUUUUUUUUUUGCAUUUCAGUACUUUUCCUCUUGCUUUGCAGAACAGAAGCCACCUAGACGUAGGUCAGAAACCACAAGAUCAACGGCUCCUCCUCCAGAACGAACAAGGCACGUCCACAGUCCAUGUUAGAGUCACUUUAUCAAAACAGCACACAUGUACACAAAUACUCACAGAUCAACAGUGGAGACACGCCCCGCACGCUGCCAGUGUGUGUGUGUGUGUCUGUGUGUGUUUGUGUGCAGGCAUGUGAGCAAGGAGAGGGUGUAUGUCUAUGAAGGGGGAGGAGGCUGCAGUUAGAUCAUAGCAUCAGAGAGGGGAGGGGAGGCUCUGCAAAUAGAGCGAGCACGGAGCCGGCAUGACUGGCAACGCACAAUCGCCUCCGCCCCGCUCCUCCAGCCACCUCGCUGUGAUAAUAAGGCGCGCACGCACGCGCACGGGAGCGCACGCCCCCGUGCGAACAGCAGGCUGCGAAUCGCACAAAUGUGUGCAGAUCAAGUGCAGACACAGCAGACUGCGAGACGUGACGGGAUGUACGGUCACCUUCCACCUGUGGCUGGCUCUUCGCAGGCGCUCUGCAUCCAGAAAAAUAUCAUGUGCCUGUUACAACCUGUGGGAAUUCAAGUCUCAUUUAAACACCAAAGGCAACAAUAAAAUGUAAUCCUAUUGUCAACUCUGUGCAGAUAAAACCCGGGGCAUCUCAUAUUCAUCUCACCCAAAGCGCUCCACUGUCGUAUGAAACUCUUUAAACUGCACAAAUGAAGCCUUCAUCCCACGAUGGCACCGCAAUUUAAUUUGAGUCGUCGCACUGUUAAAUCUGCGGUUGAAAUAAUCCCAACAAAUGAACUGCUUACUUCUGUUUUUAUAUUAAAUCUAUCACAAUAAAAUUGUAAACAUGU